rnacentral:rRNA from 2 species
UUCGUGCUCGGGGCCAACUGGAUUGAUGGUGCUUGCACCUGAUUGACGAUGGAUCACCAGUGAGUGGCGGACGGGUGAGUAACACGUAGGUAACCUGCCCCGGAGCGGGGGAUAACAUUUGGAAACAGAUGCUAAUACCGCAUAACAACAAAAGCCACAUGGCUUUUGUUUGAAAGAUGGCUUUGGCUAUCACUCUGGGAUGGACCUGCGGUGCAUUAGCUAGUUGGUAAGGUAACGGCUUACCAAGGCGAUGAUGCAUAGCCGAGUUGAGAGACUGAUCGGCCACAAUGGAACUGAGACACGGUCCAUACUCCUACGGGAGGCAGCAGUAGGGAAUCUUCCACAAUGGGCGCAAGCCUGAUGGAGCAACACCGCGUGAGUGAAGAAGGGUUUCGGCUCGUAAAGCUCUGUUGUUGGAGAAGAACGUGCGUGAGAGUAACUGUUCACGCAGUGACGGUAUCCAACCAGAAAGUCACGGCUAACUACGUGCCAGCAGCCGCGGUAAUACGUAGGUGGCAAGCGUUAUCCGGAUUUAUUGGGCGUAAAGCGAGCGCAGGCGGUUGCUUAGGUCUGAUGUGAAAGCCUUCGGCUUAACCGAAGAAGUGCAUCGGAAACCGGGCGACUUGAGUGCAGAAGAGGACAGUGGAACUCCAUGUGUAGCGGUGAAU